rnacentral:pre_miRNA from 1 species
UCCCUGAGACCCUAGCUUGUGAAAGAUUAAAGGUUACAGGCUAGAAUCUCAGGCCCU